rnacentral:rRNA from 1 species
GACAGAAGGUGCAAGCGUUACUCGGAAUUACUGGGCGUAAAGCGUCUGUAGGUGUCCUGCCACGUCUGGCGUAAAAUUUCAGUGCUCAACACUGAAUGCGUGCCGGAAACGAGCGGGAUCGAGUCAUUCAGAGGCAUCUGGAAUGUCGUGUGUAGGGGUAAAAUCCGUAGAUACACGAUGGAACGCCAAAAGCGAAGGCAGGAUGCUGGGAAUGCACUGACACUCAGAAGACGAAAGCGUGGGGAGCAAAGGGGA